UACAACAAAACCAAAAUGUUUAAAGUUUUCUUUCUUUUAUUCCUUUUCUCAAUUAUUUUGGAAAGAUAUUUAUUGUUUGGUGAUAAAAAAAAGAAAAACCAUGUAAUUGGACUUUUGUAUGCAAAAUUUAUAAAUUAUAAAAUUGAAACGAACAAUAAUUUUAUUGAAGAAAAAAGAAAUGGCUUAAUUCAGUGGAAAAAUGAAGUGAAGAAAGGGCCAAACAGUCUUGAGGUUUCAAUUUAAAAAUUUUUUAAAGUUUUAAAUAAAUAAUUUUGAUCAUAGAAAAUACGUAAAUAUUAAUUUCUCAAAAACAAGAAUAUUUCAUAAAAACAUAUUCUAUAUGAUAAAGUGAAGAAUGAUCGAAUGAGGGCAGUAGAUGAUGUGUGCGAACAGAAUCCUGGUAUAUUUAAGUUAAUAGUGAAACGAUUCUUGGGAAUUGAAUCUUGUCCGAUUAGAAAGUGCACAGAAUUUUACUUUGGAAUUGGUUCAUAAAAGACAAGAAAAAUUGAUAAUGACCAUUAAUUUAACAAUGGAGGAAAUAAGGCUUGAUAGAGAGAAAUGUAUCUCUUGAAAUUAAAAAAAAUUUACAAAAUCUGUUGAAAAGGGGGAAAAAACUUUAAACUAUGAUUUUAAGACCAAAAAUUGAUUUACAUAUUUUAUUUUAAAGUUUCAAACAAAUUCUCUUGUGAAACUUUUAUACAUUUGCCCAUUUACUUUUCAGAGUUGUACUUUUGUAAAUCAUUAAAAAAAAUAUUUAAAUUGCAUAAUUAAAAUUAAAUUAAUAUAUAAGUAUUCAUUAACUCAUUCUUUCAAUAUUUUUUUAAUGGAAAUUAUA